AUGUCAGGCCAUUACUACUCAGCUCCAAGUACUGGCUUAUCCCAUAUUGAAUUAUUCAUCUUUAUCAUGACCCACCUGUUGCUUUUUUCCCCACAGGAAGCAAAAAGGAAGCAAUUUACCUACUAUAUACUUUACAUCAACACAGUCAAAAAAUUAGAGAACCUCAUGUUUGCUCAGGAUUGUUUUUCUAACUGUGAGCUCCUUUUCUACGAUUCUACUCACAUGUGUUCCCAAGACACAGUUCUACUGUGGGAGCACUGACCAUGGCAAAGAAAGACCUUGGAAGUAGUGAUCCUGAUGCUCUGAAUGUAAAGCUUUGGUCUGUAUGUAGGGAUUUAGAUCUAAGUGCUUCUGAUAUUUCAUCUUUUCUCCUAACAAGUAACUCAGUCCUAUUAUUCCUAAAGCAGAAGAGAAAUGGAGUAUCCAGAUAAACAGAUAAUCCUUCUCUCAAAAUAUUUAAUGGAUUGUUUUUUGUCAGGACAAGAUAGAGUAGCUGUCAAGCAAUGAGUGAUGGCUAUUUAAGAUGCAUAAAGCAACUAAUCCUUUAUAUGUGGUCAUUUCUUACAUAUUUCCAACUUGUACCCGAUAAACUAUCUUUUUUUUUUUUUUAAGAUUUUAUUUAUUCAUGAGAGACACAAGCAGAGGGAGAAGCAGGCUUCCUGCAGGGAGCCGGAUGUGGGACUCGAUCCCAGGACUCUGGGAUCACACUCUGAGCCGAAGGCAGAUGCUCAACCACUGAGCCACCCAGCCGUCCCCUGAUAAACUAUCUUAAUGCAGGGUUCCAAUUCAGGGUGCUUAGCACUGCUUCAGUUCAAUACCUCCAGUUACGGGUACAGAAGCUUCCUCAUCACACUACCACUAAUGGUCCAGGGCCCCACCCUCUUUUUCUUGGGAUUAUGGGUGUUUAAGGGCAUGGAGUAGAUUUGGAGGGGAUGUCCAUGCACAAGCAUUAGUUGGGGCCAUUCCUGAGUGGUUAAUGAUGAGAUGCCAUUCAAGACCUCCAUUAGAGCCUUUUGUGGUUAGCAAGAUCACACCUCCUACUAGUUUAUCUCCAGAAAUUCUUUCCUCUUCUCUCCUUCAUAGCCACCCUUCUAUCUCCUGCUCUUUUUCUUCACAAUAAUCUUUAGACCCAGACAUUGUGGUUAUCAAACCUGCACAUAUGGUUAGCACACACUGGAGUCUGCUGCCACACUGGUCAGUAUUUUUAAAAACAUCCCUGAUCUAGAUAGAGCUCACCAACUAAGGCAUCUUACUAAACCAGUCUAUCAUGGCAGAGAGGGCCCAGACAUGUUGUUCAGUGAUUCUCAUACAUAGUGGGCACUGAGUAGUCCUGCACCUUGAAUGUCAUCACAAUUCUUACAAUCCCAGAGAGGCAUCACAGGAAAGCAUUUAGGAGCACAAAGUUUUGAACCUACUAAGGUUUAAAUCCAGGUUCCAAAAUAAAUAAAUUGAUUAAUUAAAUCCA
rnacentral:lncRNA from 12 species